rnacentral:rRNA from 1 species
AUUGAACGCUGGCGGCAGGCCUAACACAUGCAAGUCGAACGAGUGGCGGACGGGUGAGUAAUGUCUGGGACACUGCCUGAUGGAGGGGGAUAACUACUGGAAACGGUAGCUAAUACCGCAUACCAUCAGAUGUGCCCAGAUGGGAUUAGCUUGUGGGUGGGGUAACGGCGCACCAAGGCGAGGAUCCCUAGCUGGUCUGAGAGGAUGACCGGCAACACUGGAAAGGAGACACGGUCAAGAGUCCUACGGGAGGCAGCAGUGGGGAAUAUUGGACAAGGGGCGCAAGCCUGAUGCAGCCAUGCGGCGUGUAUGAAGAAGGCCUUCGGGUUGUAAAGUACUUUCAGCGGGGAGGCGGUACCCGCAGAAGAAGCACCGGCUAACUCCGUGCCAGCAGCCGCGGUAAUUC